UAGCUCAACUAUUAGGCUUCGGGGGAGUACUGCCAGACUGGAACCGGGAGAGGUAAGAGGUACUACAGGGUAGGAGUGAAAUCUUGUAAUCCCCUGUGGGACCACCUGUGGCGAAGGCGUCUUACCAGAACGGGUUCGACGGUGAGGGACGAAAGCUGGGGGCACGAACCGGAUUAGAUACCCGGGUAGUCCCAGCCGUAAACGAUGCUCGCUAGGUGUCAGGCAUGGCGCGACCGUGUCUGGUGCCGCAGGGAAGCCGUGAAGCGAGCCACCUGGGAAGUACGGCCGCAAGGCUGAAACUUAAAGGAAUUGGCGGGGGAGCACAACAACGGGUGGAAGCCUGCGGUUUAAUUGGACUCAACGCCGGACAACUCACCGGGGGCGACAGCAAUAUGUAGGCCAAGCUGAAGACUUUGCCUGAAUCGCUGAGGGGAGGUGCAUGG
rnacentral:rRNA from 1 species